CCCAGGUAAUUCCUAAACCCUGGACUGGUAGGGGGUCCUGAGGACUGGGUUGAGAACCCUUGAUCUAGACGAAGUUGUCCAGACGAAGUUGAGAACCCCUGGUCUAGAUGAAGUGUCCUGAGUCUAUGGUCCUUUUAUUCUUGCAACACAAAACAUUAAAAAAAUAUUUUUUUUUAUUUGAAACUGCGGUGUUUCCAUUGCUGGGCUGAAUCUAUAGCUCUUGUGGUUGUUAUACUAAGUUGAAGGAGUCAGCUUAGACAAUUAAAGGGACACUAUAGUCACCAGAACAACUAUAACUUAAUGUAGUUGUUAUGGUGAGUAUAGUAUGUCCCUUCAGGCUUUUUAAUUUAAACACUGCCUUUUCGGAUAAAAAGCAUUGUUUACAUUGUUGCCUAGGCACACCUCAAGUGGCAGUCCUUUAAUAGUGCUCCUUUAAUGUUCUGUGACCUUUCAAAGAAAUCACUUGUGGCUCAAUUGAAAGGCUAUUAAACUAGUGCUCAUUCACUAUUUAUUUAAAUUUUUUUACCAUCAGGUUCCCCCUGAACACCUAGGGAAGGGAGAGCAUGACUGAUGUCCCUGGAUUGGGGACUGGAAUUAAAGGGAUAAAAUGUUUAAAGUUUGGGAAGAGGUUUAAGGAUAGUAGGAGGGUUGGGACUUACUGCAGGAGCAGUAGACGGACCAUGACUAUCAUUUCCAUCUGCCCGAGAUAUGGUUAGGCUGUUUGUUUGGUGUCUGUCUCUUUUUAUGUUGUCACAGCUUGUGGGAUUCCUGGCCAACUCAGCCGCAUUAAGGAAUGAGACUCCGAGUCGGCCUGGGGAGUCUGAGUCUGGUUGUAGAAGGUUGUAGAAACUGUCUGGUAAUCAAUCAACAGCUGACAGGUGGCUAAUUAAGUUAUUGGCAUGUUAUUAAUAAAACUGUGCCUAUUGCCCUAUCCACAUAAAUUUGUGUCUUGUGUUUUGUAUGGGAGGCAGCGGAUUGGUGGGAUGGUAUUACGCGUCAGCAGUCAAGUUCAAUUCAGCAAAAAAAAAGAAUAACUGUGCAUUGAAAUUUAAAGAUAUGUGUUGUGUUUGUUUGCUCACUGCAGAGUUUUGGGAAAUAAUUUUUACAUAGAAAAAUAAAUAACAUGUUAUUGUGUCACAGUUUCCAAACUUGUACAAGUUCUCCAACUGUGUGGAAGUAAGGGUCAUUUGAAAAUCCCUGCACUCUCUAAGUCCACUUUAUACCAGGCGCAAUAAGCGUUACCUAUUCUCCUUUCAGCUUUGACACUGUGAAUAUCCAGAGUAUAUAUAAGACUUCUUUAGCUGAUAUUAUAUAUGAUAAAGGAUCAUAUAUAUUGAUCCAAAAUCAAGAUAUAUCUAUAAAUCACCACAAGUCUGUUGGCCUAAAAAAUGGAACAUUCAAAAAGUCCAAAAUAUUUGUAAAAGAAUAUUUAAAAUUCCACAGAAGUAAAAGUCAAGGGGCAUUAAGCCCCAGCAAAACAAAGGGUACAUUUCCACUAAAACCUCCCAAUAUCGGAAUCAAUACAACAAGCCAAACUGACUGCUUUAUUUAUAUUGGUUUUUCUUUUUGUCCCCACAUUCCUUUUCUACUUUAUUUUAGACGUCUUCAGCUAUUUUCUAUGGAUUAGUUCUUAGAUGCAUAGAGCCAUUUAUUGAGCCCUAGGCUAAAAUCUCAAAAAGUGGGCUUUGUUCGUGUACAGAACUAUUGACAAUAUGUAUAUAUGAGCCUUUUAUUGCUAUUUGCUAUGCAUUUUGAUUUUUAUAGCUUUUGUGAAAAACAAAAAUCCCUCACCCCACUCACUGAUGAAGUCACAUAUUAAUGAAAUGCGUUGGGAAAGAAAAGGACCACCAGCAGUGAUUACUGAAUUGGUGAUGCUUUAAAGCUCAUUAUUUUAAUGAUGCAUAUGCACUUUAUUUAUAUGUGCUUUUAAGAGUAUGUGUGCACUGUUUUGAUUUUUUUGUGCAAAUAAAUUAGUAUUUUAAUA
rnacentral:lncRNA from 1 species